AGCGGUGUUAUGGAGCAAAACGUGUGUUCAUUAUUCUGCUUAACUGCUGGACUUGGAUUAAGAGAGGCAGAGCAUAGAGGCUAGUUUGGAGAGUUUCACAAGUACAGUAAUCCCCUGAGCUUAAAGAAGAGGGACCGCAGCAAAGAAGGUGCAAAGACCAUUUGGAAGGGAUCCAGUGUCCCAGAGCCAGCUAGCUUCCAGCACUACCUUGCUAUAGCACCAGCACCUUGUGGCACUUAAUCCAUCUCCAUAGGGGGAAGCAAGGACAGCCCCGGCAGCCAAUAGCAGCGGGAGUGAGAGAGGAACUUCCUCCCUCAACUACAGUUGCAGAAAGGGGAGACCGCGGUGCCAGUGUUUGGACGUAAUGCUUGCACCACUGAACUGGAUGUCCAGGCAGCGGACCUCACUACAAACCAAAGGUAGCAGUCACAAGCCACAAAUUCAUAGCACCAUAUGGAUAAGUCCCAAGCUGCAAAAGUCUACUCUAGAUGGCUUAAUUGAUCUACUAUACAGCUCCUACUCCUGUGGAUUACAGCAAAUGCCAAUUAAUGCUAUGCUGAACACUGUACAAUUACAACUGA